GGAGAGGUGCCAGAGCGGCCGAAUGGGAGUCCCUGCUAAGGACUUGACCUCUUUUCGGGGUCCGUGGGUUCAAAUCCCACCCUCUCCG
rnacentral:tRNA from 2 species